AUGAAGGGGAUCGCCGAUGAGUUUGCAGCCGCCGGGAGGCACCUGGAUGAAGAUGAUGUUGUCGCCCACAUCAUCCAGGGCCUCAUGCACGAGCCAGAGUACAGCGGUUUCGUCUCCGCCGUCUCCACGCACACCAUCACUGACCAGGCUAUUGGCCUUGGCGAGUUGUUCUCACUGCUGAAUCACGCAUCAUCGCGCAGGCCUCCGCCUACUCCGCCAACCUUGCUGCAAAGGGCGGAGGCCACGACAACUCUAGACGUUCUGGGAACGGCAAUGGAGGCGGCAACAAUAGCUCCCGUGGCUACAACAUCAACAACACGGGCGCCCGCUUCUUCGACAACAGUUCUGGUGGCGGCAGUUCUGGUGGAGCUCACUGUCAGGGUGGUGACCGCGAUGACCAUGGUGACCGCGAGAAGUGUCAAAUCUGCAAGUUUGAAGGGCAUGGAGCGUGGCGCUGCAAGAAGCACUACGAUAGCAACUACAACAACAACGAGCGCAAUCCCACGGGUGGUGGAGGUGGUGGUGGUGGUGGUGGAAACCGAUCUGCCAACGCCGUCCACCCCCAUGGAGUUGAUACCAACUCGUAUCUUGACACCGGUGCAACAAAUCAUGUGA
rnacentral:rRNA from 1 species